rnacentral:rRNA from 1 species
GUAAGUGGAUUAAAAAAAUAAAAACAAAAAACAUGGCGGUUUUCUAUCAUAUUAGAGGGACAUGUGUUGAAAACGAAUUUGCACGAAAAAUUAUUCUUUCUCUUGAAAUCAUUUUACAUACCGCUGUCUGAAAAAUUCUUUAAGAAAAGAUAUUUUGAAUCAUGAAAUAAGGCAAGUAAAGGUGUAGACAAUGGGGAAGAAAACAUGUGUUUCAGUUUUAAAAAUGGAGAGAGGAAACUCUUUAAAAAGAAUUUAACAGUAAAGUUAGUUUAUCAAAUUAACUUGAAUUGGAAAUGGAAAGUGUAC